UGUUUACUAAAGGACAAGUCACCACAGGACAGUACAGGAUGCUUGCCAAAAGAGGUGGAUAUGUCUGGGUUGAAACUCAAGCAACUGUCAUAUAUAACACCAAGAAUUCUCAACCACAGUGCAUUGUAUGUGUGAAUUACGUUGUGAGUGGCAGAAUGAGAAAUUUAGAAAAGAACAUGUUUACAAAAGAAGCUUUAGCUUUGGCUUGGCGAUAUUUUUUACCUCCAUACACCUUCCAGAUCAGAGUUGGUGCUUUGUAUCUGCUAUAUGGAUUAUAUAAUACCCAACUGUGUCAACCAAAACAAAAGAUCAGAGUUGCCCUGAAGGAUUGGGAUGAAGUUUUAAAAUUUCAGCAAGAUUUAGUAAAUGCACAGCAUUUUGAUGCAGCUUAUAUUUUUAGGAAGCUACGACUAGACAGAGCAUUUCACUUUACAGCAAUGCCCAAAUUGCUGUCAUAUAGGAUGAAGAAAAAAAUUCACCGAGCUGAAGUUACAGAAGAAUUUAAGGACCCAAGUGAUCGUGUGAUGAAACUUAUCACUUCUGAUGUAUUAGAGGAAAUGCUGAAUGUUCAUGAUCAUUAUCAGAACAUGAAACAUGUAAUUUCAGUUGAUAAGUCCAAGCCAGAUAAAGCCCUCAGCUUGAUAAAGGAUGAUUUUUUUGACAAUAUUAAGAACAUAGUUUUGGAGCAUCAGCAGUGGCACAAAGACAGAAAGGUAUGCA
ensembl:lncRNA novel transcript